rnacentral:tRNA from 1 species
GUCGGGAUAGCUCAGUUGGUAGAGCAGAGGACUGAAAAUCCUCGUGUCACCAGUUCAAGUCUGGUUCCUGACAUGUAAA